UUGAAGACAUUGCGCUUCUAUUACGCAGAGAAGGCUACAAGUGCGAAGCCACCAUAGAUCUGUAUUAUACACCGAUCCGAGGAAAUAACCGGAAGUAGAGCGGCCGCCUUUACUGAAGUGCUCCCUGACGUAAACUCGUAAUUGAAGCGUAUGAAGUUACUGACUUUCACAUCAUCUUUGUACAAAUAUGUCUGGAUCUGGACUAACGUGUGCCGUAAUCGGAUGUCACAAUAACAGCAGAAAGCUAAAAAUGUGGAAAAAGAGCGUAUGUGCGCUUCAUAGUCCACAGUUUAAAGAGGAUUGUCCUUGUUGUGUGCCCUACGGUGUACACCGCUUCCCCGGCCGUGCUGAGGAUGAAGACAUUCGCAAGAUGUGGAUUAAAAACGUACACCGAAAGGACUUUGCCCCCAAACAAGUAUUCAAGGGUGUGUGGAGUACACUUCCCUGACGGCAGACCAACGCAGGAACACCCAUAUCCCAUAAUAUGGGAUAUGAAUAUAGUAAAGCACCAUCAUGUGGAAGACCACCCCCAAAGAGGAGAUGUCUCCAGCCCCCAACAGAGAGACUUGGAUUAAUGUUGAGAGGAUUAUUGUUCAAUACGGUGUAGAAACACUUGGUUCAGUUAUAUGUAUAUAUCUAUCAUCUUUCAAGAAAUCCUUCAUCCCCUCAGCUGUGACCAUACUGAACAAGAGAUGAACUGUCCAGCUGCAGCAUGCAUG